GGGGUUGUGGCUCAGAGGUAGAGAGCUCGCCUACCAUGCGUGAGGUACUGGGUUCAAUUCCCAGCACCA
rnacentral:tRNA from 1 species